rnacentral:rRNA from 1 species
UACGUAGGGUGCAAGCGUUGUCCGGAAUCACUGGGCGUAAAGGGCGCGUAGGUGGCGGCCCAAGUCCAUGGUGAAAGCUCGAUGCUCAACAUCGAGUCGGCCACGGAUACUGGGUUGCUCGAGCACUGUAGGGGCAGAUGGAAUUCCAGGUGUAGCGGUGAAAUGCGUAGAUAUCUGGAGGAACACCGGUGGCGAAGGCGGCAUCCUGGACCAACACUGACGCUGAGGAGCGAAAGCCAGGGGAGCAAACGGG